rnacentral:piRNA from 1 species
UNCAAUUGGGAGACAGAGGCCUAUGAGGG